rnacentral:rRNA from 1 species
AGAGUUUGAUCAUGGCUCAGGACGAACGCUGGCGGCGUGCCUAAUACAUGCAAGUCGAGCGGACAGAUGGGAGCUUGCUCCCUGAUGUUAGCGGCGGACGGGUGAGUAACACGUGGGUAACCUGCCUGUAAGACUGGGAUAACUCCGGGAAACCGGGGCUAAUACCGGAUGGUUGUUUGAACCGCAUGGUUCAAACAUAAAAGGUGGCUUCGGCUACCACUUACAGAUGGACCCGCGGUGCAUUAGCUAGUUGGUGAGGUAACGGCUCACCAAGGCAACGAUGCGUAGCCGACCUGAGAGGGUGAUCGGCCACACUGGGACUGAGACACGGCCCAGACUCCUACGGGAGGCAGCAGUAGGGAAUCUUCCGCAAUGGACGAAAGUCUGACGGAGCAACGCCGCGUGAGUGAUGAAGGUUUCCGGAUCGUAAAGCUCUGUUGUUAGGGAAGAACAAGUACCGUUCGAAUAGG